UACGUAGGGGGGCAAGCGUUGUCCGGAUUUAUUGGGCGUAAAGAGCGUGUAGGCGGCCUGACAGGUCUGCUGUGAAAACUCGAGGCUCAACCUCGAGAUGUCGGCGGAAACCGUCUGGCUAGAGUCCGGAAGAGGAGAGUGGAAUUCCUGGUGUAGCGGUGGAAUGCGCAGAUAUCAGGAGGAACACCGAUGGCGAAGGCAGGUCACUGGGCCGCAACUGACGCUGAGGAGCGAAAGCAUGGGGAGCGAACAGG
rnacentral:rRNA from 1 species